CAAGUAAUCGCCGCUGUGGGGUAGCCACAGGGGAGGAAAGUCUGGACUUCAUAGGAGGAGAUACCAGCGAAAGGCUGGGGGCUGCAAAGCUACGGAAAGUGUCACAGAAAAUAUACCGUGCUUAUGUUUUUUAACGACAUAUGCAACAGGCUGAAAAUGCCAUCUUUAAGAGAUGAGCCACACGUGCAGCAAUGCAUGGUGCUACAAACCCUAUCUGAAGCAAGAAAGUAGCAGGAGCACCCGUUCUCCGCGGGCCUGCUUAAAAUAUAUCGCUUGAGGAUCCUGGCGACAGGUUCCCUAGAGGAAUGAUUACGAGUAUAGUUUGCGCUAUACAACAGAAUCCGGCUUAUCGCCUUCCCG
rnacentral:RNase_P_RNA from 1 species